UACGGAGGGGGCUAGCGUUGUUCGGAAUUACUGGGCGUAAAGCGCACGUAGGCGGCUUUGUAAGUCAGGUGUGAAAGCCCGGGGCUCAACCCCGGGAUUGCACUUGAAACUAUCAUGCUAGAGUGCAGGAGAGGUAAGUGGAAUUCCUAGUGUAGCGGUGAAAUGCGUAGAUAUCAGGAGGAACACCGGUGGCGAAGGCAGCUCGCUGGGACGUGACUGACGCUGAGACGCGAAAGCGUGGGGAGCAAACAGG
rnacentral:rRNA from 1 species